rnacentral:misc_RNA from 1 species
CCGAAGGAAAGUCGCGGAAUCCAUAUCGCGGUCGCACACACACACACACACACACGCCACAAGGGCCCACUGUGAAGCGGGAUGAAGCUGCUGAAGUUCGUGAACAGCGACGCCCCGCACACGCUGGUGGAUGUGCAGCUGCGCAACCAACGCCUUUGGUUCCCAUGCAGAAACGGCAACGCGGCGGUGGCGGCGAAGAGCUGGACCCUCAAUGCCGCAUCACCCACAUCACUUUCCGGGGGCUACUGGCUUCUGGACGACGACGACAAGCCAAUCUGCGAGAUUACCGACGUGCUGCUCGCGCUGCCCGAGACGGCGGCCAACGCGGCCGGCAGCAGCGGCACCUUCGCCCCACGCGGGGUAACGGACAAGGACGUCGACGGCAUCGACUUCCGCAGCAAGAUGGGGCGGCAGAUGGAGCGGGAGCGCGCCACUUACGGUGCCACCUCGAAGACCGCGACCAAGUCAGCACGGACGAUGAUGAACGCCGAGGAGGUGACGGAGAAGAAGCACGAGCGCAUGAAGCGCGAGCGCGAGGCUGUUGCCGAAGCGAUAGAGGACAACGACGCGAGCGUGAUGGAGCCGCGCAAGAAGGAGAGGAAGCACUCGAAGAAGUAGCAACGGAGACCCACGUGCACGCAUCCACGGUCGGCAUGUGGCGUUGAGUCUGUGUGUGCUGUGUCCGCUCUUGUCUUCUGUGUGGCGCGGUGUACACACCUUUACAGGGCGGAGAGGGGCGAGAUGAAGCGGUGCAUGGUCGCUGGUGGCCGUAUCUGCUGUGGUGAUGUAUCUCUGUGUAACUCAUCUGGCUGAGGUGCUGCCGCUCUUCCUCGUCCUCCGCCUUCGCUAGCACUUCACGCCAACGCACCCACCCACCGCCGUCUGCACACACGCCCCCAUGCGCCUGAUGGCUUCGCUUAGCCGAGCGACGGAUGAGGGAGGGUAGAGCGGAGGACAAGAAAUGCAGCAGCGGAGGGGAAACGGUGGAGGAGAAGGUGGCCAUCACGCAUGUGGUUUGCGGGCUUGACUGUCCUCUCACCGCAAACGCAUCAGCCGCGUAAUGGUGGGGCUCGCGCAUCGUUACGCUACCCACGUGCUCCGUGCGCGACCCUCGCGCGCAUGCGCACGCGCAAGCUCAGUAGAAGUGGUGGAGAAACAAGGCUAGAGAGAGAGAGACAGUGCACAGUUGCAACGGCGACCAACCUCCACGUAAGAUUCGGUCAUCAUGGCGAGGCGUGCACGCCUGUCGGAUGCUCGCCGCAUGCGUCUGUGUAUGUGUGACUGCGGCGCCAUCACGCAAUUCGCGCCCACGCGUAAUACUGCACGCUUCUUCAUCGCACGUGCACACGCACACGCACGCGACAGUCGUCUGUAACGCAGCGACGAACUAUUUUUUUUAAGCCGCGUUUUCGCGCCACAUAAAAA